rnacentral:tRNA from 1 species
GGGCCGGUAGCUCAGCCAGGUAGAGGUUGUGGGCCACCUAAAGCGCCGGGCUCUUAACCCGGCGGUCCCGGGUUCAAAUCCCGGCCGGCCCGCCA